CUGGCGGCGUGCUUAACACAUGCUAUUCUAACGAUUCACUUUAUUUGAUUUCUUCGGAAUGAAGAUUUUGUGACUGAGUGGCGGACGGGUGAAUAACGCGUGGGUAACCUGCCUCAUACAGGGGGAUAACAGUUGGAAACUACUGCUAAUACCGCAUAAGCGCACAGGGUCGCAUGACCUGGUGUGAAAAACUCCGGUGGUAUGAGAUGGACCCGCGUCUGAUUAGCCAGUUGGUGGGGUAACGGCCUACCAAAGCACCGAUCCUUAGCCGGCCUGAGAGGGUGAACGGCCACAUUGGGACUGAGACUCGGCCCAGACUCCUACGGGAGGCAGCAGUGGGGAAUAUUGCACAAUGGGGGAAACCCUGAUGCAGCGACGCCGCGUGAAGGAAGAAGUAUCUCGGUAUGUAAACUUCUAUCAACAGGGAAGAUAUUGACGGUACCUGACUAAGAAGCCCCGGCUAACUACGUGCCAGCAGCCGCGGUAAUACGUAGGGGGCAAGCGUUAUCCGGAUUUACUGGGUGUAAAGGGAGCGUAU
rnacentral:rRNA from 1 species